rnacentral:rRNA from 1 species
UACGUAGGAUGCAAGCGUUGUCCGGAUUUACUGGGCGUAAAGCGCGCGCAGGCGGCACUCUAAGUACGCUGUGAAAUAUCCCGGCUCAACCGGGAGGGUGCAGUGUAGACUAGGGAGCUAGAGGUCGGUAGAGGGGGGUGGAAUUGCUGGUGUAGCGGUGAAAUGCGUAGAGAUCAGCAGGAACACCCGUGGCGAAAGCGGCUUCCUGGUCCGACACCGACGUCAGGCACGAAAGCGUGGGGAGCAAACAGG